CGACCGCCGCGGCCGGCCCCGCAGACCGGGGAGGAGGAGGAGGAGGGGAAGCCGGAGAGGGAGGCGCGGGGAGGAGGGAUGGAGCCGGGAGGAGGAAAUAAAUAAAUAAAACAAUCACCUCCGCGCCAAUAAGAGCGAGGGAGAGAGCAAGACGCGACCAGAGAGCCACCGGGGCCCGCUCGCGCGCCUCUGAGAGGCUGUCCGCGCGCGCGCGUGUGUGCGUGAGUGUGGAUUUGCCGGGACUGGAGCUGGAAAGUUCAAACUAAACGUGUUGCUCUCGCCGAGUGCCGAGGCCGCGGCGGAGGCUGCCCAACUUCCCCGGGCCAAGUGAGUGGCGUUGCCCAGCGCCUUUGGCGAGGCGGCGGCCGCUCGGCCCUGCGCCCGGCCGCGGCGGCGGCGGCUCCGCUCGCCCCGGGAGGGAGCCCGCGGCCAGGGCUGGACUCUCGCCCCGCCACCUCCACCGACUCUCUCCUCAGCCUCCGCGCCUGGCACCGCAGCAAGCUUGAAUGAAGUGAUCAUGUAAACUAGAGAAAGGAGAUUAAAAAUAACCUCUGGAUAUUCCUCUCAUGUGAUCUUUAUUCUGGAUGAAGCAUUAGGACAGCUAAUAGCCGUGUGUCACUAGAGACAGGGUUUCACCGUGUUAGCCAGGAUGGUCUCGAUCUCCUGACCUCGUGAUCCACCCCCCUCGGCCUCCCAAAGUGCUGGGAUUACAGGCGUGAGCCACAGCCCCUGGCCUCAACUGCUGUUUCUUUCAAAGUGCAUACAAUUGAUUUAAUUCAGAUCUUGUUUUUAAUAUGUAUUCACCAUUGGACAAUGCAUGGUUUCUUUAAAUUUAAUUCAGUUGGAACCUGACGGAUGACUUCGGCCUGCUGGCAUGCUCUUUUCGUUUUACCGUUCCGUGCGUGCUCCAUUCCCCAUAGCCAUCAUCUUGAUUUUGUGUUUAUCAAUCCAUUGCUUUUUUAUAAUUUUCCUGGAUAUACAUAUUUAUCUAAAAAAUAUAACGUUUACAUUUGCUUAUUUUGAAAUUUAUUAGAAAAUAUUAUUCUGCAUGUAAACUUUAGAGUCAUUUUUUUGCCCAAUAUUUCGUUCCUCAUAUUUAAUCAUAUUAUUACAGAUAGCUGUAAUUGUUAUUGUUUAACACUUCGCUGUGGGAAAAUGAAACAGUCUAUCUAUUCUCCUGUCCAUGGCGUAUGAUUCCUUCUUGAUAUUAUGAUCAGUGCUGGUUUGAAUAUUUUUAUGUCUUCUAGUGUGUAUGUAAUCAACUAUAUAAUCCUGGAAAAUAAUAAAAUGUUUUAAACUGG
rnacentral:lncRNA from 1 species